rnacentral:rRNA from 1 species
UACGUAGGGACCAAGCGUUGUUCGGAUUUACUGGGCGUAAAGGGCGCGUAGGCGGCAAUUCAAGUCAUCUGUGAAAUCUCCGGGCUUAACUCGGAACGGUCAGGUGAAACUGCUUUGCUAGAGUGCGGAAGGGGCAAUCGGAAUUCUCGGUGUAGCGGUGAAAUGCGUAGAUAUCAGGAGGAAUACCGGUGGCGAAGGCGGCCUUCUGGACGAUGACUGACGCUGAGACGCGAAAGCGUGGGGAGCAAACAGG